rnacentral:lncRNA from 11 species
CACCAGUUUCCCUCUCUGACUUUCCCCACCUGCGCCAUCUCUCAGGAAAGGCCAUAUAUGGCGGCAGGUGAGUCUCCCAAGCGCCGCCUCGGGGACCAGGCCGCUCCCAGUUUCGCUCAGGUGGGGCGGAGGCCAGGUAUAAGGAGCCAGCGCUGGGGGAAACCAAGCUGGAGCUGGGAAGGAAAGAAGGAAGAAAGAAAGGGAGGCAAGGAGGAAGGGCCGCCCUUGUAACCUGAGCAGAAGGAGGGAGAAGAGGGCGAGGCCGGCGGAGGAGAAAGCCAGGGGCUGGGCUUACCUCGUGGAACCAGUCCAGCAGCUCCACCGAAGGAGAAGGAAGCCUCUCAAGCGCUGAGAGACAGAGAAAUAGUUCCUCGACUUGGCUCUUUCUUGGCUCUUCACUUCAGCCUUUUUUUCCUCCCCAAAUCCACGCGCGAUGGAGUUCCUUCCUGGGGUUGCUUUGCUGCUGCUUCUCGCUGCCACUGUUUCUUGCCAAGAGGGAUGUGUAUGUGAAAAGAACAAACGGACAGCAGACUGCGUUCAAGUGGGCAGCAGCUGCCAAUGCAAAUCUCUUGGGUCUAAUACCACAGUGAACUGUUCAACAUGUAAGUACAAGAGCACAAGAAAGCCUAGAGAGCUUGCUUUACUGUUCUGAAUAUGAAAUUGAAAUGCGUUGC